AGCUAAGUUAGAUGUACGGCUUCAUAAAUGUUGAAAAAGACUGCUCAAACCAUGUGCAGAAGCGCAUGGGGACUGCGCUUCGGAACCUCGUGCAGAAGCACAAAGGGGGGAGCAGCGAGCCCAUCAGUGGGAAGGGCUGGCUCACAAGUGGCCUCAUCACAAAAUUGACGAGUUAUUAUGGCUGGGCUUUGAAAUCCCAUUCCGGAAAUGCGGAUGAGAUGCACAAGGCUGUGUGGGCUACGUAUCAUCAUGUGACAUCCACUGACGAGAAAUCAAACCACAGCUUCUGUCCACUCGGCCCCGAGUCUUGGUGCGAGCAUAAUGUAGCCUUGGCAAGGAAUGAGCCCAUCCCAAAAAGCAAGUACAAUUUGCCAGAGGCUGUGAGCAAUGCACUGCUCACUCUUUAUGAACGCUUUUCCGACAAGAAGCUCUUGCAGAGGUGCACCUGAAGGAAAGCGCAGAAUGCGAAUGAGGCCUUGCAUACGGUCAUUUGGAGCCUCUCACCGAAGGGCAAGAACGCCUCAUUGUUUGCCGUUGAGACUGCCAUGGCAGAUGCUGUUAUGCGUUUCAACUUGGGGAACAAGGAAUCUCGUUCGCUUAUUUUGCGUGAACUGCAGCUAGAUCAAACAUGCACAGGUAACCAGCGGGCAUUUGAGAAAGACUAUCACCGUGCCGUCGGCUCGGAGAGGAAACGUGCAUGUUCUACAGCAUUCCAGGCAGCCGCAAAGAAGCACAAGCAAAAGCCUGCUUCAGACUACUUCGCAGGGGCCUUAUGAGUACCAUGUCCCCCUUAAGCGACGGAUGGCUCAGUCGCUUCAAGAAACCCCACGGCCUUGUUUUCAAAGCAAUCUCGAGUGAGAGUGCUGCAGUGAAUAGAGAUAUCUGCACCGACUGGUAACAAGGGCGGCUUCAGGAAAUUUGGGAAAACUAUGAGCUGCGAGAUGUCUUCAACGUCGAUGAGAAGGGCAUUUUUUACAAAAUGUUUCCGUCAAAGACUCGCGCCUUCAAAGGCGAAGCCUGUAGCGGUGGAAAACACAGUAAAGAUUGCAUCACUGUGCUGCUGGGUGCCAACUUGGCAGGUGAUCAGAAGUUGAAGCUUUUAGUUUUAGGAAAGUUGAAGCAUCCACGUUGUUUUAAGGGCGUUCUACACCUUCCCGUUACGUAUAAUACUAACGGAGGAGCCUGGAUGACUAUGGUAAUUUUUUAAUACUGACUACGUGAGGAAGAUGCAAGAUUUACGAUGCAAGGCAGGAAGGUUGUCUUGAUUGUGGAUAAUUGUCCUGCCCAUGGUCAGAUUGAUGAACUCAAAUCCACCUUUCUCGAGUUCUUACCAGCCAAUGUCACUGCAGUGAUCCAGCCAAUGGAUCAAGGGGUAAUACAGAACGUAAAAGUUCAUUACAACAGACAGCUGCUCCACCGAAUGCUGCUUUGUGCUGACAUUGGCAAGUGCUACAAUAUAGAUUAGUUGGCUGCCAUUCACAUUUUGUGUCACGCCUGAGAGCAACGAAAGGCAACAACCAUACAGAGGUGCUUCCACCAUGCGGGCUUUCAAGCUCAAGAACCAGUACCUCAUGAAGAGGAAAGCCCAGCUGAUGCUGACACUGAUGCAGCAUUUAAUCAGGUUGUGCCUUCUGCCCCUUUCACAUGACAGGACUCUCAGACGAUUGAUGAAAGUGUGCAAACUUGUCGCGAAGAGACGCUUGAGGAACUGAUUGCCGAAGUGCAAGCUGACGAUCAACCUUCCUCCAGGGAUGAGUGUGAUGAUGUCAUUGGCAGUGCAGUGGUGCCACAGGACAGUGUAGAGAGGCUUUUGAACUUUUGCUACGGUAUCUUGAGCAUGAUGGUUUGUCCUGAAGUUCUGUCUAGCUUGUCAGGCAUGGGUGCUUACUUUGCGAAGAAGCAGCUCAAGCAUGCCAAGCAAACCACACUUCACUCAUUUUUUUUUCCUAGUCAUCCAGGUAAAUAAGCUAGGGUUGGUGUGAACGAAAUAAAGUUUUUGGUUCAUGA